CUGUGUGACUGGCUGUUUCCACUUGUGGAGAGCGCCGGUUUCCGCCUUCCACCAUCCGGAGGGUGAACGCUCUCUGGAAUAAACAACUCCUUAUUUGGCUUGAUCUAAGAUUCAAACUUGCAUCAGCAAAUGUGAGCCUAUCCGCCUUAGCCACGUGGCAUUUUUCUGGGGUUGGCUGGCAAGAGUGCUUUUAAGCUUUGGGGGAUUUUUCCCAGGGGUCAGAAGAUUGUUUCAGUUUCCUGAGUAAACUGCUUAUGGAAGAGUCUCAGUGUUGCGUCUUCCUUGCUGGUCGAGGCGGUCUCGACAAGUGGUGGCCCGUACAGGGAAUUCUUCCUCUGAAGAGACUCAGAACCUUCUGCAGCCAGGGCAGUGCACUGUUUCUAUUACAGAAUUGGUCAUCCGAGUUUGAAGACACCAUGAGAGAACUCAGGAUGGCUAUCGUGCAUGUGAAUUCCACCCGAAUAGACCUAUCCCUUGCGAGCGGCCUGACUUCCUGGUUGAACUCCACCAUGGAUCAUUUGAAAGAGUGGGCGGGCACGGGAGCGUUAGCAGGCCUCUUGAUUACGGUCUCCCUGGUCUGCCUGUGGUUAUAUGCAGAAUUAGGGCUACGCAAAAGCGAGAUGCAGCUAUGAUUAUUCAAGCCUUUACUGCCAUAGAGGCAGGGCAGUCCCCCCAGGCCUGGUUGGCCACUAGUAAGAACUAAAAUGCUCUCUUAAGUGGGGUGUGAGGCUAAGCACUGCACGAGGGUUUGCCUGUAUGCGGCUAGGCUGCCCUUGCAAGACAAGACCGAUUGCAUGAAGGUUGUACCCAAGAUCCCCUGGGAAAAUAGGUACGGGAUGGGUUUGGGUCACCGCAGGCGUAGAGUUUGUGGGUGUCACCAAUAUAUUAUCCCAUGUUUGCACACCGGGGAUCGGGCCUCUAUCUUCACCUGCUCUGUUUUUUAAUAAAGAAGGGGGAACUGUGGAGAGCUGCACCACGCCAGAAGAUGGUGCCGAUUUCUGCCUUCCACCAUCCCGAGGGUGAACACUCUCUGGAAUAAACAACUCUUUAUUUGGCUUGGUCUAAGAUUCAAACUUGCAU
rnacentral:lncRNA from 1 species